CCCUUAGAUGUCCUGGGCCGCACGCGCGCUACACUGAUGCAUUCAACGAGUAUUUCCUUGGCCGAGAGGCCUGGGCAAUCUUUUAAACCUGCAUCGUGAUAGGGAUAGAUUAUUGCAAUUAUUAAUCUUGAACGAGGAAUUCCUAGUAAACGCAAAUCAUCAAUUUGCAUUGAUUACGUCCCUGCCCUUUGUACACACCGCCCGUCGCACCUACCGAUUGAAUGGUCCGGUGAAAUCUCGGGAUUGUGGCCAGUUCACUUUAUUGGGAGUUGGCUGCGAGAACUUGCUUAAACCUCAUCAUUUAGAGGAAGGUGAAGUCGUAACA
rnacentral:rRNA from 1 species